AAUCUGCGGUGGUUAAACUCCAUAACAGCAGGGGGCAGUAUUAGUUGUGAGCAUCAGCGCAAUACUAAAAACAAGACGGUUUUGUGUGUUUGGUUCUUUAUACAUGUAUUUUUAUUACAUGCCUGAAGAUACGUUCAAGGAAUAUGGCAGAUGACGCUCUGUUUGGAUUCCUCCACAUGGAGAUUGUUGCUCACGUGUACAAAGAACAGGCGACUCGGGAGGACAUUGACAAGGAGAGAGUGACGUGUGUCUCUACUCUAGAGUUGAUGGGCUUCAGAGUUGGACAAGGACUGAUUGAAAGGUUUACAAAAGACUGCCCCACUUUCAAAGAUGACUUGGACAUAAUGAAGUUCCUGUGUAAAGACCUCUGGAGCACCAUCUUCAAAAAACAAAUCGACAACUUGAGGACGAACCAUCAGGGCACGUAUGUUUUACAGGAUAAUAAAUUUGCACUACUGACUCAGUUUUCCAGUGGAAAGCAAUACAUUGAAGAGGCCCCUAAAUUUGAUCUCUGCAGUACUUGGCCUUUUCCUGUGGGUUGAUUCGAGGAGCUCUGUCGAAUCUUGGCUUGGAGAGCGUUGUCACUGCAGAGCUUUCUUUAAUGCCAUCAUGCAAAUUCCAGGUUGUAGUUCAGAAACUCUAGGAUGGACUAAACAAGCUCUGACCAACAAUGGUUCUUGAGUUAAAACAUUGUGAAUGUGAAUUACAUGGAGCUAGAUUUUAAAUGUUUACAACAUAAAUUUUGAUAUAAUGCUGUUUGCAGUUUCAAGGUACAUUUUUCACAGUUUUUUCCUCCAUAUCACUUAAAUUCAGAGACUGGACCUGUUUGGAAAUAUUCUGAAUGUCGUAUUCUACCUCGACACCACUUAUUGAAG